UCUCACUACGAGAGUAGGUAAGGUCACGGGGAGAAGACCCGUUGAUAGGCUUUAUGUGGAAGUACAGUAAUGUAUGUAGCAGAGGAGUCCUAACAGACCGAGGGCUUGACCUC
rnacentral:rRNA from 1 species